AUACGUAGGGGGCAAGCGUUAUCCGGAUUUACUGGGCGUAAAGGGCGUGUAGGCGGUCUUGCAAGUCAGAAGUGAAAUUCCUGAGCUCAACUCGGGCGCUGCUUCUGAAGCUGCAGGACUUGAGUGCUGGAGGGGAUAGCGGAAUUCCUAGUGGAGCGGUAAAAUGCGCAGAUAUUAGGAAGAACACCGGUGGCGAAGGCGGCUAUCUGGACAGUAACUGCCGCGAAGGCGCAAAAACGUGGGGAGCAAACAGGAUUAGAUCCCCUGUUAGUCCACGCCGUAAACGAUGAAUACUAGGUAUAGGGGGUAUCGACUCCCUCUGUGCCGCAGUUAACACAAUAAGUAUUCCGCCUGGGGAGUACGGCCGCAAGGUUGAAACUCAAAGGAAUUGACGGGG
rnacentral:rRNA from 1 species